rnacentral:rRNA from 1 species
AAAUUGAAGAGUUUGAUCAUGGCUCAGAUUGAACGCUGGCGGCAGGCCUAACACAUGCAAGUCGAACGGUAACAGGAAGCAGCUUGCUGCUUUGCUGACGAGUGGCGGACGGGUGAGUAAUGUCUGGGAAACUGCCUGAUGGAGGGGGAUAACUACUGGAAACGGUAGCUAAUACCGCAUAACGUCGCAAGACCAAAGAGGGGGACCUUCGGGCCUCUUGCCAUCGGAUGUGCCCAGAUGGGAUUAGCUAGUAGGUGGGGUAACGGCUCACCUAGGCGACGAUCCCUAGCUGGUCUGAGAGGAUGACCAGCCACACUGGAACUGAGACACGGUCCAGACUCCUACGGGAGGCAGCAGUGGGGAAUAUUGCACAA